rnacentral:rRNA from 1 species
ACUCCUACGGGAGGCAGCAGUGGGGAAUAUUGCACAAUGGGGGAAACCCUGAUGCAGCCAUGCCGCGUGUGUGAAGAAGGCCUUCGGGUUGUAAAGCACUUUCAGUAGGGAGGAAGGUAGUGUAGUUAACACCUGCAUUAUUUGACGUUACCUACAGAAGAAGCACCGGCUAACUCCGUGCCAGCAGCCGCGGUAAUACGGAGGGUGCGAGCGUUAAUCGGAAUUACUGGGCGUAAAGCGCAUGCAGGCGGCCUGUUAAGUCAGAUGUGAAAGCCCGGGGUCUUAACCUCGGAAUUGCAUUUGAAACUGGCAGGCUAGAGUCUUGUAGAGGGGUUAGAAUUUCAGGUGUAGCGGUGAAAUGCGUAGAGAUCUGAAGGAAUACCGAGUGGCGAAGGCGGCCCCUGGACAAAGACUGACGCUCAGAUGCGAAAGCGUGGGAGCAAACAGGAUUAGAUACCCCGUGGUAGACUGUCA